rnacentral:rRNA from 1 species
AUUGAACGCUGGCGGAAUGCUUUACACAUGCAAGUCGAACGGCAGCACGGACUUCGGUCUGGUGGCGAGUGGCGAACGGGUGAGUAAUGUAUCGGAACGUGCCCAGUCGUGGGGGAUAACGUAGUGAAAAUUACGCUAAUACCGCAUACGAUCUAUGGAUGAAAGCGGGGGAUCGCAAGACCUCGCGCGAUUGGAGCAGCCGAUAUCAGAUUAGGUAGUUGGUGGGGUAAAGGCCCACCAAGCCAACGAUCUGUAGCUGGUCUGAGAGGACGACCAGCCACACUGGAACUGAGACACGGUCCAGACUCCUACGGGAGGCAGCAGUGGGGAAUUUUGGACAAUGGGCGAAAGCCUGAUCCAGCCAUUCCGCGUGCAGGAUGAAGGCCCUGGGUUGUAAACUGCUUUUGUACGGAACGAAAAGGUUUCUACUAAUACUAGGAGCUCAUGACGGUACUGUAAGAAUAAGCACCGGCUAACUACGUGCCAGCCGCCGCAGUAA